AUUGAGUUAUAAGCACAUAGAAUUUCUCAGAAGAAAGAUAUCUUGUUCUGUGCAAAUAUUUACCUAUUCUGACUAUAGAGUAUGUAGUAUUAAGGCUAGCCCUGAGACAGUGGUGGUUAAAGAUAUAUUUUUGUUUGACUUGUGUAAAUCAUUUUUAAGGUCUAGCUACAAAAAGAAGAUUUGAUCUCAGUGCUUAUCACAUGCAAAUUCUUUUCUUUGCUUUCCAGUUUUUAAAAAGCAUAAUAAGAAAGCACUUGGAAAAACCAAAAGGAGAGAGGCCUCGUAUAACAGGUAGACACGUUGCAGGUGGAGCACCAUAACUGCAAGGAAACUCAGCGACAUGAAGGCAAAAAACUCCUAGCAUGGAACAAGGCAGGCAAAUGCAACCACUAUCCCAACACAUGACACAGCACAGCAUUGGUCAGAUCAGAGAACGGAGACGAUUUGACUUGGACAUAAUGGCAGUUCAGAAAAAGAUCAUUGAUGGGAGAUUUGGAGAGAGUUACAGACGACUGAGAAUCAUUCAGAUUUUAUUCAGGAAAAUUUGAAAUUCAUUUUAAUUUUAUUUAAUUUCUCUUAAUGUCACCCUAGACGAGAUCGAUGUGAUCCACUCAUCCUCCUUUCUUCCCUUCUCCUCUUAUGCAUCAUCAGGACAAUAACAAUUUCUCUUUCAUAGCCGUUUAGAGGAAAAACAGCUUGAUUCACAUGUGUGUGGGUGAAGGGAACAACAAGUCAGAGAUGAUUUUUGUACUGGGCCAUGAGUUCUGAGGUCUGCAGUUUCUGUUACUUUUUGUCACCAGGACAUGAAAUCUGAAGUUUUGAUCUGACUUCUGUGAAAGCUCUGUGUCCUUUACUCCACGUUCCCCCCUUCUCUUCAGCACUUUCACGAUUCCAGUGCAAUAGAGGUUAUCAUGACAGGUCACAGCCAUGCAGAGGGAGGUGAUCCCAUAGGCAGAGAAGCAGAGGUCUCAUAUCACACUGAGAGGUAUAAAUAGCAAGAUGGAGACCUUGAAGUGGAUAAAUGGGGUAAUUUGCUUUGCUAAACAGACAUUCUGUCAUAUUUUCAACCAUGUGGAGCUUUUUCAGGGCAUGCAGCUUAAUUUCUGGAUCUGAGUUGCAGUAAUGCAGCCUGGAGGUCACUAAUGCAAGGAUAUCUGUAUGGUAUGAUUACUGUGCAGAUUGCCAUAUAGCUAUAACUCCAAGGGAAAGGAGGAGCAACAUGGCUAUUCGGAUAUCUAGCAGCAUCAAGGAAUCCAAAGGGAUCUAACAGCUAUAGAUCAAUUUUUCUUAGAUAUUUAUGUGCCAACUUGAAGGAACAGAACUUUUAAAAAAAUAUUGUGUUAAACUCUUUUACUUACUAUUAUUCUAAGUAGUACCUAAAGCUAUGAGAGAAAUAGUGAACAGAGAAAAGUAUUUGUCCUCAAUUUCUUCAGGUUAUUUUUUGUACACUUGACAGGAUUUUGUGUGCCAUCUAUUUUUGUUUUUCUCCUGUCUAACAUGUUAGCAAGUACACUCUCAUUUUGAUUGUGUUGGCCUUAGACGCAAAGCAAUAUGAGGAAGAAAAUAUUCUUUUCUGUUUGUUUGUUUUCUAUUGGAAAAAUGUAAUUCCCCAAGUCAUAAACAUUACCAAGAAAAUUCAGUUAUUAGCACUAAAGAUAUGUUUUAAAGACACUUAUGAACAUCAUAGUGGUUGGGCUACAUUCCAAAGUUAACAAUGUCCCUUCAUAAUUUGCUUUCAAAAAGUAAGUAAAGCACGGUAAGAUUUGUGAAACCUGUCCUGAAGUCUUGUAGGAGGUGGGCACCAGCUAUCUGAGGCAGCAAAUAGCCUUCCACACAACCCAGUGUUUAUGGCUGUUCAUUAUAUUGUGUGAGGGGAGGGUAGAAGGGGGAAUUCAUUAAUUGUGUGUAAGAAUGCAGUGGGGAUACAUAUGACUCAUAGAGUCCCAUUCAGUGCAGCUGGGAAUCUCUAUCAGGAUGUUUUGACUCAUUACCCUGGGCCUUCAUCAGCUGAUGGAACUAAUUUUUUUUCAUCAGCUGAUUAAGAUUCAAGAUAAUGAGUCAAAAUAUUCCAGUACUAAUUCCCAAUAGGAGGGGAGAGAGGAUGUUAACUUCUACACACACAUGCACAUGUACACAGAAGAAAUAAAAAGAAGCAUAGUCUCUCCA
ensembl:lncRNA